rnacentral:misc_RNA from 1 species
GAUGAAGGAACGCAGCGAAAUGCGAUACGUAAUGUGAAUUGCAAAUUCAGUGAAUCAUCGAGUCUUUGAACGCACAUUGCGCCCCCUGGUAUUCCGGGGGGCAUGCCUGUCCGAGCGUCAUUGCUGCCCUCAAGCACGGCUUGUGUGUUGGGCCCCGUCCUCCGAUCCCGGGGGACGGGCCCGAAAGGCAGCGGCGGCACCGCGUCCGGUCCUCGAGCGUAUGGGGCUUUGUCACCCGCUCUGUAGGCCCGGCCGGCGCUUGCCGAUCAACCCAAAUUUUUUAUCCAGGUUGACCUCGGAUCAGGUAGGGAUACCCGCUGAACUUAAGCAUAUCAAUAAGCGGAGGA